AACGAACGCUGGCGGCUGGCUUAACAUUUGAAAGCCGAACUCCCCGCCAGGGGAGUGGCAGACGGGAGAGUAACGCGUGGGAAUCUACCUAGUUCUACGGAACAACAGUUGGAAACGACUGCUAAUCCCGUAUACGCCCUACGGGGGAAAGAUUUAUCGGAAUUAGAUGAGCCCGCGUAAGAUUAGCUAGUUGGUGGCGUAAUGGCCUACCAAGGCGACGAUCUUUAGCUGUUCUGAGAGGAGGAUCAGCCACACUGGGACUGAGACACGGCCCAGACUCCUACGGGAGGGAGCAGUGGUGAUUAUUGGGCAAUGUGCGCAAGCCUGAUCCAGCCAUGCCGCUUGAGUUAUGAAGGCCUUAGGGUUGUAAAGCUCUUUCACCGAUGAAGAUAAUGACGGUAGUCGGAGAAGAAGCCCCGGCUAACUUCGUGCCAGCCGCCGCGGUAACAC
rnacentral:rRNA from 1 species